rnacentral:misc_RNA from 1 species
GUGAAUCAUCAAAUUUUUGAACGCAAAUUGCACUCUCUUCGGAGAGUAUGCCUGUUUGAGGGUCAGCCUAAAAAAAAAUCGACAUAGUCGCUGUUUUGCGGUGGCUUUUGUCGGGAAUUGGGUCAUUUUAAACCUUUUGGGUUUAAGGGGGUUAAAAUUUUCUUUACGAUUCCACGAACGUUUUUAAGAUUUACUUCUUUCACGUUUAAGGUAAUUGAUUCUUAUUAGACGUGGCCGUUGCUUCC